rnacentral:rRNA from 1 species
GACGAACGCUGGCGGCGUGCUUAACACAUGCAAGUCGAACGGAAAGGCCUCUUUCGGGGGGUACUCGAGUGGCGAACGGGUGAGUAACACGUGAGUAACCUGCCCUUGACUUUGGGAUAACUUCAGGAAACUGGGGCUAAUACCGGAUAGGAGCUCCUGCUGCAUGGUGGGGGGUGGAAAGUUUCGGGGGUUGGGGAUGGACUCGCGGCUUAUCCGCUUGUUGGUGGGGUAGUGGCUUACCAAGGCUUUGACGGGUAGCCGGCCUGAGAGGGUGACCGGCCACAUUGGGACUGAGAGACGGCCCAGACUCCUACGGGAGGCAGCAGUGGGGAAUAUUGCACAAUGGGUGGAAGCCUGAUGCAGCAACGCCGUGUGCGGGAUGACGGCCUUCGGGUUGUAAACCGCUUUCGCUCAUGACGAAGCUUUGUGUGACGGUAGUGGGUAAAGAAGCACCGGCUAACUACGUG